UACGUAGGGUGCAAGCGUUGUCCGGAAUUAUUGGGCGUAAAGAGCGUGUAGGCGGCCCGAUUAGUCCGCUGUGAAAGUCCAGGGCUCAACCCUGGAAUGCCGGUGGAUACUGUCGGGCUAGAGUCCGGAAGGGGCGAGUGGAAUUCCUGGUGUAGCGGUGGAAUGCGCAGAUAUCAGGAGGAACACCGAUAGCGAAGGCAGCUCGCUGGGACGGUACUGACGCUGAGGCGCGAAAGCGUGGGGAGCGAACAGG
rnacentral:rRNA from 1 species